UCUUACACAUUGAGAGUGGUUUCCGCGGUGAUGGGGAAGUUCUGUCAACCCUGGCCUGCUUUGGGACACCCGUGGACCUCCCCAGAGCUGGUGGUGAAAGUUCCUGGAGAUAGACCCUCCGAAUGAGGAACAAUGUAUUCUUAUUUUCUCCUAAUUCUCCUAAAAAAUCCACUUGGGAGAGACCUGCUGCAAAACUUAAAGGCAACCAUAUUCUGUACUUAGAUGAAGUGUUUGUCAAGCUCCCUGGAAAAGAGAAUCAAAGGACCCUGACUUGUUUACUCUGUGCCUUCUGGAAGAAAAAAGUGAUGAGAGAGAGUGGCAAUCUCACACCAUGCUGAAAAGCCCCCCCAACUAACUCAGAUCCAUGAGUCCCUUUGGGCCCUGAGGAAUAAUACUGCUAGUCUAAUUCAAGAUAUAAAACCAACAAAAAUGGUUUACCUAA
rnacentral:lncRNA from 1 species